rnacentral:tRNA from 1 species
UCCUGGUGGCUGAGAUGGUGAAGAAUCUGCCUGCAAUGCAGGAGGACUUGGGUUCAAUUCCUGGGUCAGGAA